rnacentral:rRNA from 1 species
AGUGAACGCUGGCGGUAGGCCUAACACAUGCAAGUCGAACGGCAGCACAGGCGAGCUUGCUCUCUGGGUGGCGAGUGGCGGACGGGUGAGGAAUACAUCGGAAUCUACUCUGUCGUGGGGGACAACGUAGGGAAACUUACGCUAAUACCGCAUACGACCUACUGGUGAAAGCAGGGGACCGUCGGGCCUUGCGCGAUUGAAUGAGGCGAUGUCGGAUUAGCUAGUUGGCGGGGUAAAGGCCCACCAAGGCGACGAUCCGUAGCUGGACUGAGAGGAUGAUCAGCCACACUGGAACUGAGACACGGUCCAGACUCCUACGGGAGGCAGCAGUGGGGAAUAUUGGACAAUGGGCGCAAGCCUGAUCCAGCCAUACCGCGUGGGUGAAGAAGGCCUUCGGGUUGUAAAGCCCUUUUGUUGGGAAAGAAAUCCAGCUGGCUAAUACCCGGUUGGGAUGACGGUACCCAAAGAAUAAGCACCGGCUAACUUCGUGCCAGCCGCCGCCGUAA